UUGGUGUGGACAUGGUACUGAAACAGUCCAGACCUCCUCCUCAAUCGUCACGUCAUCGCUUGAGUACUGAGAACCUCAGGAUCUCCAUGUGGUCAGGGUAAUGUAGACGGAGCUCUACGCUGUAUCUAACUCCAAGCAGUCCUGGCAUCGCUGAACGUUUGGGGGUGUGGUGUGUGUGUUUUCAGUCUGAGCAUGCUAACUGUGACUAACCCACUGACUAACUCAGCAUGUCUGCCACUCUCAGGGAGGCCCAUACCCAGUCAAUACUAACAUGACCAACAGAGACAGUCCUCGGCCUCUUAGAGAGCUUACCAGGACUAAAGCACUAAUGGGUCCUCGCCAAAGCAUGUGCAUGAAUGACUAGACCAUCUCUGAGCUAACUGGUGAAGAUGCCACUGCCUUUGUGAAUUUCUUUUUUACAUAUAUAUAUAUGUAAAAUAUAUAUAUAUAUUGAUGUGGUAGAGUUUGUGGCAGCACUGUAACCAUUUUGAUUACCCUGUGGGAGCAUCUCAACGUCAAAUGACAGACUCUCUCUUUCUACUUAACAAAUUACAUUUCUCUUUUUUUAUAUAAGAAGAAAAUAUAAAUAUAUAUAUGGAGGUUGGGCCGGAUGGAGGGAGGGGGGUGUGAGUGGGGAGCUCGGGCAGGGCAGAGUGAACUCGCCUCCUUCCGUCAGCCAGGGUCAGGCGGUCCAAGCCCACCACGGUUGGCCUCGUUCCGUGCAGAUUGAGGGAGGCUGCUGCGUUUGGUGUCACCCUGAGGCACAGGAAUCUCUCGAUAUUUGGUCCCCCACCCCCCCCCUCCUCAACACUCCGCUUCCAUUCAGAACGAUCGAGCGUGAUUUUUAUUUUCAACCACCGCUCCCCUCCCCAACUUGCCCGCCAGGGGAGCAGUGGACGCCGUUUACCUUGUGCCUGAAUGAGGGGGUUUUGCAGGGGGCUGUCGGUGGGAAUGGAUGCUGAGGCUUAGCCCACAGGCUUCUGGACGCGUCUGCAGGCUAAAUCGAUCAGUGGGUGUGACGGACUUUCUGGCUGUGCUUUCGACUGGACUUUAAUGGCUCCUGGGGUUUACGCGCUCUCUUUCUGUCCCGUUCUGUCUUGACCAGGGCUUUUGUGAACGUUUGCAGUUAGUUAUCUCUUGUGCUGCAGGACACAAGAACUGAGGCAGUGGGAGAGACCAGCCUGAGGGGCAUCCCGGGGCCGUGUCCCGGGAUUGGGUGUGCCCCAACUCCAUUAAUGUUUGCCUCCUUGUUUACGGUGCCUUAGCUAUGUUCAGGGAGAAGGAAGUCCCUGGCCUGUUGACCUUGGUGCUAAGCUCAUGUGGUUGUGUUAGAUGUGGGUGAAACUUUUUUUUGGGGGGGGGAAUUACAAAACCACACCAGCCCAACCCCCUCUCUACCCUGUACCAGCCCAUCGAACCUCGACUGAGCGUUAUAAAAAAUCACCGGCAAGUGGAGUAGGGCCCUCUCUCUCUUACCGCCCAAAGGAACGGGUGCCCUCCAUCUUAACAAUCAAUGAGACAGCCCCCUCUCGAUGGAAGCCAGGCCCUGACGGAUCGGUGUUUGCUGGGGUGGUCGGGGGGGGGGAAGGUGAUGGUGUAUCGUCUUGGGAUCUUGCUGUGCUUGUUACUGCAGGCGUUACUCAGGUCAGGUAGGCCACAGAGGCGGGACCAAUGCUGCGAUUGUGUUGUCUUCAGAGCUUCUUGUUUCAACCGUUCUCUUUUCAGUCAAAGUUGAUCGCAGACGGGAAUUGAGGGGGAUGGGGUUGGGGUGGGGGAAGAAAAUUACCACUGCAGAUAUUUCGUUUUGUAAAUCUGAGGCCUAAUUACCUUCGCGAUUUGAUUCUCUCCUUUUUUUUAACCUCAAUAAAAAGUAUGUGUUAUUUUUUACAAGCAGACAAUAAAGGCUGUAUUCAGGAGGCGGAAAUGUAAUGUUUCUAGGUGAUUUUUCUUUUGCAAAAAAAAUAAAAUUGUUUUUGAGGGUAGCACAUUUUGUUUUCUCCCCAUCGAUGCUGCUCCAGUUCUUUUAUCUUUCUUCCUCGGCAGGGACUGGGGAUAGAUAAAGGCAGCAGCAGGGCCUGAGGAGCUCGAGUGUCCCGUGAGCAGUGCAGGAAAGGACCAGCCUCCAUUCCUACCUGCACCCCUCACUCUCAUGUGGUAACUGUGUGUCACACGUGCGGUGCAGAUCCGAGCUGGACACAGCGGUUGUAACUGCGCCCCCCCCCCCCCCAAAAAAAAAAAUACACGUUAAGGUUUCGUCCUGGGCCAGAGGCAGCUUUUACACGUGUGACUGUAGCUGGGGGCCUGUUGGCGUUCUCUCAGAUACUUGCCGGUUUGUGAGGAAGGCAGGGUUGCUGCUGUCGCUUUGAACUUUGGAGACAGCCCGGCGUGCCGGAAGGGAACGUCAGUCGGAUUUAGGAACGAUUAGAGCUGGCCCGAUUAGUCUUCCGCACCUGUAGCGGGCCUGGCCUGUCCGCACUGGCAUUGCCUCUUGUGAGGGGGCACGUUCUCGGAAUCCUGCAAUGGAAGACCAGGAUUGGGGGUGGGGGGGAACAUUGGGAAUUUAGAGAGGGGUGUGAGAGAAGCAGGGGAUUGCCCCUUCUGUGUGCCUUAUGUUAGGGGAGGGUAUCGGGUAGCGGUGCGUGCGAGGGGAUAGGAUUAAACGGGUUUGUCUGGGGGAUCGGGACUUGUUGGUGUGGGGAGGAAAGAGAGUGCUGAAACGAUUGCCCCUACCCACCCAGCAACCAACUCUGAAUUUCUCACGGUCGUCUUGAUUAUCUACUCGCCCUCUAACCUUUGGGAAUGUGUAGUCUGGUGGGUAGAUCAAGGCAGGAGGAGAGUGUCUUUUUGCAUUUGCCUCUCUAUCUGCUUCCUGCCAGUCAGCUCUCGGAUCCAAGUUGCUUUUCCUUUUGAAAAUAAAGAACUUUCUCUGUAAAACUGUACAAAUAAAUUUUUUAAAAUGGA